GAUUUUGUUUGAUGGGAUUCCAAGGGGCCUAGCCGGAGGGUGCCAAGUGUGUGCAGGAUUCAGGUUUGUGAUGUGCAUGGAGUGUAAUGGAAGCUGCAAGGUGUUGGAUGAGCAGCAAAAGAAAAUGGUAAAAUGUGGUGAGUGCAAUGAAAAUGGGUUAAUACAUUGCCCUAUUUGUUGCUAAUUUAAUCCUCUAUUCCCUCCAAUUUCCUUUUUAACUUCUGGAAUUGGUAUUGAGAUUCUGGGAUUUUUCUUUGUUUGAUUCUUGUAUGAAGAAUGAUUCUUGAUUGGUUUAGAUUCCUCUGGCUUGUAAUUUGGGAUAUUAAUCUGUUUAAUAUAUCAAUGUAAUUUGUACAUUUUUUUUCUUCAGCAAUUAAUUAAAACUUUU
rnacentral:misc_RNA from 1 species